GCCGGGCCAGAGCCCCGCCCCGGCCCUACCCUCCCUGGGGAGGCUCCUCGCUGACCCCCGGGACGGUGCCCGCCCGUUUUUACGCACCCACUGGGCGCGAGAAUGGGAGACCCACCCGCUUCCCAGCCCCGGGCACGCAUUCUCAAGAGGCAGCCGCGGGGUCGUGCCAAGCGGGCAGGUACGAUCAUGCUCCCUAUCCCCGAGGUAUUUGAGCGGCCUCAACAAAGGCGACAUGGGAAGCCCCUCCCGUCGGGGUAGCCGUCACAAUCUCGGCAGGCGACGCGAGGACCUCCGAGGGAAGGGGCGAACGCAGGGGGACUCUGGUGUUUUCACUGGAACUUCCCACCCUCACUUGCAGACCCCCUAUUACAGCUGCUUUGCUCUGACUGCGGGAGCAGGUCAUCGCGGGGCGACUUCCCAAGGUUCUGUCCCGCUAAGGGAUCUGCUAAAGUGCCUGUGUGUAAUGAGAAGGCAGGGAUGAGCCGCAGAGCUCGGGGGAGGACUCAGCCUUUUCAAGUGUGUGGAACCCGAAAGGUUGGAGCAACUAGAAAUUGAGCGUCCAGGAGUGGAAGCCGAAGAACGGGAAUUACCCCCGGCUACUGGCUAUCUGUUUUGCCACUUGAACCUUUCAGUUGCUCAGCAUCUCACCCAGACCCCCCAAUAAGUGACUUUUUUAUGGACGGUUGCUGUUAAUAAACUUUGGCCUGGAAUCGGAGACUAAACCGAAGUCUUCUCGCACCCAAAUCCACUAGAGGGCAGGGCUACACCUGAGUUCGACCGCAUUCACCACAAAGAACUGUAAAGACCGCAGGAGUUCCUCCCUUGUGUGCUAGAGGUCAGGACCUUUGGAACAAUGUGUCUUUGACCAGAUGUAUCAACCUUAAGCAGCCUGGUUAGAUGAAAGAAGUGGGGAAAACUUCAUUUGUUGGCAGCAGUGGGAUUCAAAGGAAAUUCCUGAUGGAUUCUGGGACAACAACAAGAAACACAGUUCUUUCUUACCAUUUCUGAAGGCCGUGGAUAAAUUCCUCUGCAUUCUGAUCCCUGUCAUCUUUGUUUGUUUGUUUUUAAUUGUAUUUAUUUAUUUGAGAAAGAGCAUGAGCUGUUGUUGUGGGGAGCAGGGGCAGUGGGGGAGGGAGAGGGAUAAGCAGCCUCCCCACUUAGUGAGGAGCACGACUCAGGCCUGAGCCACCCAGCUACCCCAGUGAGUUCUGCUGUCUUUGUAUUGAGCUUCUUAUCUAAUUGUCUUUCUGUUCCAGGUCAACAGGUCAGUUUAGACAGACAAAAGGCUCUAAAAGAAUGCCAGUUCUUAGCUCUUGGUUCAGUCCACAAUUCCCAGUCCAGGGCUUGGCAAGUCAGUUUGAGAUGGCAGAAUGCUCUGCCUAGAACCCAAGUCUUUAACCCUAUUUGUUCACAGUUCCUCAUUCGAUCGGAAUCCCAGUCCACAGUUCCCAUUUGUUGGGGUAUGCAGGUUCAGUCCUUUCCCCAGUCCCCAGUUCCAUGUUGGGAAUUGCUGGUGGUACAUACAAGGCCUUUUAUUGGCCGGUCCACAAUAAUAUCUCUUUGGAGAUGAAGAAGGACACUAUAUCCUACUUAAAGGGUCUAUCCAACAAGAAGAUCUAACAAU